AGUUAUCAGAAAGAGCUCUUUGGUCCAAGAAGAUUGUGUUUAAUAGGUGGCCAAGGCAGUGGGUUUGUAAUCUGUAAAAAUAAUUUGCUACAGUCUACUGGAACAAUAAUUAUUGAGUGGCAAAUGCAUUUUAAGGCCUUUUAGUGGCAGCUCCAUGAUUGAUCCUGUAGAGACUAUUUUGAAUCCAGGUUUUCAUGCCUUCAGCAAAUGCAGAUUUUAAGUGAGAAUUCAGCUGUGGAACAUUGAAAGCCUUCAACGCAGAUACGUGCCUGGGCUGUGUAAUGGAUGAACAAUCUGAGGUUGUUGAUAUUUGUGGAAGAUGCUAAAGAUGGAAAAGUGGUCACUUGGGAAGGCACAACACUGCACAACUGUUCCUCCCACAGCUGCUGGGGUGCUGCUCCAGGAUGCAGUUUCAAACUCACAAAUAUCUGUGCAGAUACACACAUAUGAGCCUUCCAAGACAUGCAAAUCUCUGCCGUCCUUCUGUGGUAUCACCGCUGCCAGAAAAGUCAACUGCAAUGCAAAGCCAAGGAGCAGGACUCAGGAAACCCUCCUGCUUUCAUGUUUGGUGAGAAUUUCAAAGUUUGUCUCUUGUGGUGUUAUUUUUUCCUGCUGA
rnacentral:lncRNA from 1 species